rnacentral:rRNA from 1 species
AGUGAACGCUGGCGGUAGGCCUAACACAUGCAAGUCGAACGGCAGCACAGUAAGAGCUUGCUCUUACGGGUGGCGAGUGGCGGACGGGUGAGGAAUACCUCGGAAUCUACUUUUUCGUGGGGGCUAACGUAGGGAAACUUACGCUAAUACCGCAUACGACCUACGGGUGAAAGCAGGGGAUCUUCGGACCUUGCGCGAUUGAAUGAGCCGAUGUCGGAUUAGCUAGUUGGCGGGGUAAAGGCCCACCAAGGCGACGAUCCGUAGCUGGUCUGAGAGGAUGAUCAGCCACACUGGAACUGAGACACGGUCCAGACUCCUACGGGAGGCAGCAGUGGGGAAUAUUGGACAAUGGGCGCAAGCCUGAUCCAGCCAUACCGCGUGGGUGAAGAAGGCCUUCGGGUUGUAAAGCCCUUUUGUUGGGAAAGAAAAGCAGCAGGUUAAUACCCCGCUGUUCUGACGGUACCCAAAGAAUAAGCACCGGCUAACUUCGUG